UUAUGGCCACAUCACGUCGAAUCACCAGUCCCCAUAUGAGCACUGAAGUUAAGCAACAUUGUGCCUGGUCAGUAGCUAGAUGGGUGACUACUUGGGAAUACCAGAUUUUGUAA